GGUUCGGGCGCGCGCCAGUGGGACGGUGCGCAGGUAUAGGACCGGUCGUCAUCCGACCCGGCGCUGCCGGCCUUCUCCCGGGGCCAGCGGC
rfam:Dinoroseobacter shibae DFL 12, complete genome.